UUAGAUUUAGAUUUAGUUUUUUUUUUGUUAUUUCAGGUUUAAUGGUGUUGGCUCAAGCAAAAAAAGGGGGAGAUUUGCGGCAGUUUGUGGUUUUACAUCGACGUGCGGUUUUGCGGUGGUAGAUCUGUCGUGGCGGCAACGCAUUUCCGGUGGAGAUUUUGAUAUUUGUAAGCGAUGAUUUGCUAUCAACAAUAACCGGAUUUGAUUUUUUUGAAAUAUUUUGUGCAACAAUAGAAUCUGGAAGAGGACUCUGAGAUACGGAAGCUGGCUUUUUUUCCAGAUCUGACCCUUCCAUGGGCUUAGGGUUUCAGGAGAUCUCGGUCGCAAGGUCUUUUCCAAUAUGGAAUUUUUUGUGGUGGUUAUGCGGAUUGGUUAGCAGAAUUUUGUGGGAAGUGGCAGUUCGAGUCGGUGAUGCAGCCUGUUAUAACAACCUGUUAUGGCAAAUGAAUGUUCUUUGUCAUAUUGUCUUUUAUGUCAUGUCAAACUAAGUUAAAAGCAUUCUACAGUUUAUUUCUUUGUAUUUCCCUAACACAGUUCGUUUUGUAUAGAUGUUAUCGGUGUCGUUGACAUCGUGCUUUACACUCAGCAAAACUCUGGAGGGAAGAAGCCACAGAGUGUAAAUCAAUUUCAAUCUCAACAUAAUCUGCUUCUCUCUUUUAGGUAAAUUUGGAGCUUUAUUUGCAUCAAUACCGUUCCUAUAUUUGCUGUUAUAUAUUGCAUUUUAUUUGGUCUUGUGGGUAAGCACAAAUAAA